rnacentral:rRNA from 1 species
UACAGAGGUCCCAAGCGUUGUUCGGAUUCAUUGGGCGUAAAGGGCGCGUAGGCGGCCGUCCAAGUCGGGUGUGAAAUCCCUCGGCUCAACCGAGGAACUGCACUCGAUACUGGUCGGCUAGAGUCCGGGAGGGGAUGGUGGAAUUCCCAGUGUAGCGGUGAAAUGCGUAGAUAUUGGGAAGAACACCGGUGGCGAAGGCGGCCAUCUGGACCGGUACUGACGCUGAGGCGCGAAAGCCAGGGGAGCGAAUGGG